rnacentral:rRNA from 1 species
CCUACGGGAGGCAGCAGUAGGGAAUAUUGCUCAAUGGGGGAAACCCUGAAGCAGCAACGCCGCGUGGAGGAUGAAGGUUUUCGGAUUGUAAACUCCUUUUGUUAGAGAAGAUAAUGACGGUAUCUAACGAAUAAGCACCGGCUAACUCCGUGCCAGCAGCCGCGGUAAUACGGAGGGUGCAAGCGUUACUCGGAAUCACUGGGCGUAAAGAGCGCGUAGGCGGGAUAGCAAGUCAGAUGUGAAAGCCUAUGGCUUAACCAUAGAACUGCAUUUGAAACUGUUAUUCUAGAGUAUGGGAGAGGUAGGUGGAAUGCUUGGUGUAGGGGUAAAAUGCGUAGAGAUCAAGAAGAAUACUCAUUGCGAAGGCGACCUGCUAGAACAUAACUGACGCUGAUGCGCGAAAGCGUGGGGAGCAAACAGGAUUAGAUACCCCAGUAGUC